rnacentral:rRNA from 1 species
AGCUGCAGAAGAAGCACCGGCUAACUCCGUGCCAGCAGCCGCGGUAAUACGGAGGGUGCGAGCGUUAAUCGGAAUUACUGGGCGUAAAGCGCAUGCAGGUGGUUUGUUAAGUUCAGAUGUGAAAGACCCGGGGCGUCAACCUCGGAAUUGCAUUUGAAACUAGGCAGACUAGAGUACUGUAGAGGGGGGUAGGAAGUUUCAGGUGUAGCGGUGAAAUGCGUAGAGAUCUGAAGGAAUACCGGUGGCGAAGGCGGCCCCCUCGGACAGAUACUGACACUCAGAUGCGAAAGCGUGGGGAGCAAACAGGAUUAGAUACCCUGGUAG